UGUUUUGUUUUAAUUCAGAAACGCAUGAUAGAGUCUUCUGAGAAGGUUGCAUUUCAACUUGAUUUAUUUCUAGUGCAAGAAUGCAAGUUCCUGGAUUCUGUUUGUACUACAUGCUUCCUUGCCUUCACCUCUAGUUCAGUAUCACCACCCCUCUGGGAAGUAUAUGAGGGGGAAUGCCAUUUUACACCCAAGGACAGUGAGGGUUAGCUUGUGCAAGAUCACUCAGUAAGAAGCAAGUGCAAGAUAAAAGCCUUCACUCCUUAAAGAGUAGUACUUUUCUCAUCAGCACAGAACCAAAAGAGGCCACGCGUAUGAGACUCCAAACAUUCUUAUUUUGAAGGUGAUUACUCGAAAUGUAAGACCUGAGCUAUGGAGGCUGUUUAUAUCGGUAACCCAACCAAUGGCCGCCUGCUUUAAAUUUGCUCAAAAUCCCCAAGGCAAGUCCUGAGCCCUGUCUCCUAUGUUUUAUGCAGAGACACCUCAAAGUAUAUUUUGCCAGACUACAAGAAUACCAAGGCCUGCCAGAUCAGAUUUUCCCAGUUACCAGAAGCUUCUCACCUCACCUCUACUUCAGCCUCUCUGAGUCAUAACCAGUCACCCUAAAACCUAGCUUCUCUGCACUUUCUGAAUAUGGAAAUGACAAUCCUGACUUAUGACACCAGGACCUGUUAAAAAGAUUGAUUUUGUAAGAAAAGUUGCAUGUAAGUUUUUGCCAGUGGGUACCAUGGUCACUUUUAUACAUAAGAGACUAGUAUGUUAGGCAAAGAAUUUGUACUCAUAUUUUUUUUUAAGUUUUAUUUAUUUAUUUUCAGAGAGAGACAGAGUGAGGGGAGGGGCAAAGAGAGGGAGAGAGAGGAUCCCAAGCAGGCUUCACAUUGUCAGCCUGGAGCCUGAUGCAGGGCUCGAACUCAUGAACCGUGAGAUCGUGACCUGAGCCGAAAUCAAGAGUCAGACGCUUAAUUGACUGAGCCACCCAGGCACCCGCCUUACUCAUGUUUCUUAAGAGAAAAAAGUAGAGUGGUCUUCUUAGAAGAACAGAUAUAAAAACACAAGAUACUGCAUCCUGGAAUCCACCCCAAGUCCAAAUCCUUUUUGGGAUCUUUUCUUGGAAGGGGUAUCUAUAGUCCUAGAACUUCUUUGGGCAUAUUUCCUCCAAAGCUCUUUUUUUUUUUUUUCCUUUCAAAGGAACCGUAGUAUGAAUACUGGAAAAUGAGAAAAUUAAAGAUGGAUCUACCAAACCAAUUGUGUGUGUGUGUGUGUGUGUGUGUGUGUGUGUGUAACCCACUUACAACACCUUUCAUCCACAGAACUAAAGGCACCAUGGAAAGGACCGCUGAGGAGAAAAACUAGGGGACUUGUGAUAACUUCCAAAGAACAAAGCCCUCACAGGCGAGGGUGAGGGCCUCAGCACAGUCUUUUCACAGAGAUGAAGAAUCGGAAGUCUAACUGGUGGCUCACCUCAGGAGGUGAUUUUAAUUGUCAUUUUCCAUAUGUUUUGUGGAGAAUUAAAAUGAUGAAAGGUAUUUCAGACGGCAGUAAUCAUGGCCACGUAACUCGGUGUUCUGGAGCUCUGGCAACUGACAAACCCCAUUUCAAACCCACUUUGACAGACUGUCGCUUGGAAUACAUUGGGAGUAUCUUGUCCUUUGUAGGUGCCUCAUAAACAUUUAUGAAAAUAAUGUCAGAAAAUGAGUUAGAGAGAUCUAUUGAGGUGUGGGUUGUGUUUCAGAAACCUUGAUGCUGAUCCUAAAACACUAAAUAACACUCCCGAGUUCUCACAUGUAUCAGGCACCAUGCCAAGUGUCUUACCACAGUGCUUUCCCAGGUGUGGUUCCCUGACCCGCAGCCUGGGCACCACCUGGGAACUUGUCAAGAAUGCAGAUGCUCUGGGGGCGCCUGGGUGGCUCAGUUGGUUUGGCGUCUGACUUCCGCUCAGGUCAUGAUCUCACCGUUCGUGGGUUCGAGCCCCGCGUCGGGCUCUGUGCUGACAGCUCAGAGCCUGGAGCCUGCUUCGGAUUCUGCGUCUCCCUCUCCCUCUGCCCCUCCCCCACUCGGGCUAUGUGUCUCUUCCUCUCAAAAAUGAAUAAAUAUUAGAAAUUAAAAUUAAAAAAAAGAAUACAGAUUCUCUAGCUCUACCCAGGCCUACUGAGUCAGAAAUGUGGGGAAUGAGCCCAACAAUCUGUGUUUUAACAACCUUCCAGGUGAUCCUGAUGAACAAUAAACUUGGAGAACCACUGCUUGA